rnacentral:rRNA from 1 species
CCCCGGCUCAACCGGGGAGGAUCAUAGGAAACGGUGAAACUUGAGUGCAGAAGAGGAGAGUGGAAUUCCACGUGUAGCGGUGAAAUGGUAGAGAUGUGGAGGAACACCAGUGGCGAGCGACUCUCUGGUCUGUACUGACGCUGAGGAGCGAAAGCGUGGGGAGCGAACAGGAUUAGAUACCCUGGUAGUCCACGCCGUAAACGAUGAGUGCUAAUGUUAGGGGGUUUCCGCCCCUUAGUGCUGCAGCUAACGCAUUAAGCACUCCGCCUGGGGAGUACGGUCGCAAGACUGAAACUCAAAGGAAUUGACGGGGGCCCGCACAAGCGGUGGAGCAUGUGGUUAAUUCGAAGCAACGCGAAGAACCUUACCAGGUCUUGACAUCCUCUGACAACCCUAGAGAUAGGGCUUUCCCUUCGGGGACAGAGUGACAGGUGGUGCAUGGUUGUCGUCAGCUCGUGUCGUGAGAUGUGGGUUAAGUCCCGCAACGAGCGCAACCCUUGAUCUUAGUUGCCAGCAUUCAGUUGGGCACUCUAAGGUGACUGCCGGUGACAAACCGGAGGAAGGUGGGGAUGACGUCAAAUCAUCAUGCCCCUUAGACCUGGGCUACACACGUGCUACAAUGGACAGAACAAAGGGCUGCAAGACCGCAAGGUUUAGCCAAUCCCAUAAAUCUGUUCUCAGUUCGGAUCGCAGUCUGCAACUCGACUGCGUGAAGCUGGAAU